CUACGGAGGGAGCAAGCGUUAUUCGGAAUCACUGGGCGUAAAGGACGCGGAGGCGGGUUUGGAAGUCAGGCGUGAAAUCCUACAGCUCAACUGUAGAACUGCACUUGAAACUACAGACCUAGAGUAUGGAAGGGGCAGAUGGAAUUAGUGGUGUAGGGGUAAAAUCCGUAGAUAUCACUAGGAAUACCGAAAGCGAAGGCGAUCUGCUGGGACAUUACUGACGCUGAGGCGUGAAAGCGUGGGGAGCAAACAGGAUUAGAAACCCCAGUAGUCC
rnacentral:rRNA from 1 species